AUUACAGAAGGGACGAUGGGUGGACGAUGAUUCUAUAAUCUUAUUUUUUAUUUAUUGGAAUGCCAAUAUUUCAAUUUCAAAAAAUAGGAUUAGUCUGCCCAUUUUCUUUAUAUACACAAAGCUAUUGUUUUUUGAAUAGCUCGUUUUAAAUCGGCGCAAAAUGACUAGUCCUUCCAAAAAUUUUUGGGAGGAUUUUUU
rnacentral:sRNA from 1 species